rnacentral:rRNA from 1 species
AGGACGAACGCUGGCGGCGUGCCUCAUACAUGCAAGUGGAGCGACGAACCAGGAUUUAUCCUGGGGCAAAGCCGCGAACGGGUGAGUAACACGUGGGUUACCUGCCCCGAUGAUUGGGACAACCCGAGGAAAACUCGGGCUAAUACCAAAUGUGUUCUUGGUCGUGAUGACCAAGAAGAAAGGAAGCCUCGGCCUCCGCAUCGGGAUGGGCCCGCGGCCCAUUAGCUAGUUGGUGGGGUAAUGGCCUACCAUGGCGUCGACGGGUAGCUGGUCUGAGAGGAUGGUCAGCCGGACUGGGACUGAGAUACGGCCCAGACUCCUACGGGGGGCAGCAAUUAGGAAUCUUGCGCAAUGGGGGCAACCCUGACGCAGCGACGCCGCGUGGAGGAUGACGGCCUUCGGGUUGUAACUCUUUUAUCGGGUAAGAACAAAUGACGGUACCCGAUGAAUAAGCCCCGGCUAACUCCGUGCCAGCAGCCGC